rnacentral:rRNA from 1 species
AUGACACAUUCCCACACCAUCAAAAGCCAUCACAAUGUAGGUGGUCUUCCUGAAGAUAUGAAAUUGAAGCUCAUUCAACCACUCAAGCUCCUAUUUAAGGAUGAGGUGCGGAAGUUGGGUAGUAUCUUAAAUAUCCCAGAGUCAUUCUUAAAGCGACAUCCAUUUCCCGGGCCUGGUCUUGCUGUACGUAUCCCAUCAGGUGAUGUUAUAGAAGGCAAUGCUUUGGAGGGUCUUCGUCAGGCGGAUGAGAUGUAUGUUCAAGCCAUUAGAGAUGCAGGACUCUAUGAUACAAUUUGGCAAGCUUUUGCUGUGCUUUUGCCUGUCGAAACAGUUGGGGUCCAGGGUGACCAGAGAACUUACGGCUAUCCGGUUAUUUUAAAGGCAAUUACCAGUGAGGAUGGCAUGACUGCAGAUUGGUAUUAUUUUGAACGCAAGUUCCUGGCCGAUGUGUCGAGUAGGAUCUGCAACAAUGUGCGAGGCGUUAACCAUGUUUGCCUAGAGAUAACAUCAAAGCCACCAGCGACAGUGGAGUGGGAAUAG